GACGAACGCUGGCGGCGUGCUUAACACAUGCAAGUCGUACGGUAAGGCCCUUUCGGGGGUACACGAGUGGCGAACGGGUGAGUAACACGUGAGUAACCUGCCCACAACUUUGGGAUAACGCUAGGAAACUGGUGCCAAUACUGGAUAUGUGCUCCUGCUGCAUGGUGGGGGUUGGAAAGCUCCGGCGGUUGUGGAUGGACUCGCGGCCUAUCAGCUUGCUGGUGGGGUAGUGGCCUACCAAGGCGGCGGCGGGUAGCCGGCCUGAGAGGGUGACCGGCCACAGUGGGACUGAGGUACGGCACAGACACCGACGGGAGGCAGAAGUGGGGAAUAUUGCAGAAUGGGCGCAAGCCUGAUGCAGAAACGCCGCGUGCGGGAUGACGGCCUUCGGGUUGUAAAACGAAUUCAGCAGGGACGAUGCUUUUUGUGACGGUACCUGCAGAAGAAGCACCGGCUAACUACGUG
rnacentral:rRNA from 1 species